rnacentral:lncRNA from 10 species
CCCAUCUGGGCUACUAUAACCACAUGGACCAUCCCUUGCUUCAAUCAUAGAAUUCUUUCUUCAGAUCAAAGUAUAUUCAGACACUCGAUACAGUAACAAAAGCAAGCUAUCCUGGAAGGAAGAAGGAAUCAGGAGGCAGAGCACAUGGUUAAAGCAUGAGAUGUGAAACCAGGAAGAACCAGGUCUGAACCUUAGCUCCACCAGUGGUAGCUUCAAACCUUGGUCCUUUCUGAGCCUGCUUCUUCAACCGUAAGAGCAAGGCCAAAAGCAGCUUCAAUUAUGGUACAACUGUGUGAAGACACAAUGCAAAACCACUCAAGAAUGCUCACUCAAAUGGAUUUUUACCAUGGAACUCGGAAACGGGACCCAGAAAGUUGUUUUCUCAAGUGGAUGGAACAACACAAGCAAUCAGUAUCCUGAAACAGGCCCUGUUCCAACAAACUGACCCAGAAAGGUCUGGUUAGGAGGACAGGACCCUCACUAUACACUAUCACAUUUAAACUAAAAGGAUAUUAUGAAUUAUGUACACAUAUCAAGCUGAGAGGAAAGGAAAUCCUAUCAUCUUGCAGGCUUCCUAAUGAUCUUACUUAAAACUGAGUUACUGCAACAAUAA